GAUGAACGCUGGCGGCGUGCCUAAUACAUGCAAGUCGAGCGAACGGACGAGAAGCUUGCUUCUCUGAUGUUAGCGGCGGACGGGUGAGUAACACGUGGAUAACCUACCUAUAAGACUGGGAUAACUUCGGGAAACCGGAGCUAAUACCGGAUAAUAUUUUGAACCGCAUGGUUCAAAAGUGAAAGACGGUCUUGCUGUCACUUAUGGAUGGAUCCGCGCUGCAUUAGCUAGUUGGUAAGGUAACGGCUUACCAAGGCAACGAUGCAUAGCCGACCUGAGAGGGUGAUCGGCCACACUGGAACUGAGACACGGUCCAGACUCCUACGGGAGGCAGCAGUAGGGAAUCUUCCGCAAUGGGCGAAAGCCUGACGGAGCAACGCCGCAUGAGUGAUGAAGGUCUUCGGAUCGUAAAACUCUGUUAUUAGGGAAGAACAUAUGUGUAAGUAACUGUGCACAUCUUGACGGUACCUAAUCAGAAAGCCACGGCUAACUACGUG
rnacentral:rRNA from 1 species